rnacentral:lncRNA from 1 species
GCAAUUCAGGGAAAACACAUCCGAGAGUUCCGAGCAUGGCCCAUCUGGCAUGGAUGACCUCAAGCUCACGGUUCUUGGAGAAGGUCUCGGGAUCCGCUGAGAGUCCGGCAGUGUCCCAUCCGUAGUCACCAGGGAACUCACCGGUGAGGUACGAUGGUGACUCUCCGGAGAAUGGACCUAAGUACUUGACACAGUCGAAACCAUACCAUGAACUUCCAGACGAAACUGACUUCUUGACUGUGUUCCUCCUCAUGGUGAUUCUUCAAACACCGAAGAUGGUAUUGGGCUUCUGUGCGAGCUUCACGGCCUUUCCUGCGAGGGAAAGGGAGGAGAGAGCAGCCAUGGAAGAAGCCAUUGCAGGAAUUGGUCAGAUUAGUAGGAAAGGUAAGUAUGAAUGGUUUGUACAAUCAAAAUUGUCGACAUAGGAUUAUAUUUUAAUCAUAUCAAUUUAAACUUUGAUUACACUAUUAAUCAAUAAGGGUUAAAUAAGUCAAUCGAUAUUAAACCUAACUUCAGUUAAUUACUUAAUCAUUUGAGUUAGGGUUUAAGUCAAAGUUAAAAGUCAAAAUGGAAUAAUUACAUUUUACCUUGAAUAUUAUUAUUUGGAAUAAUUGUAUUUUUACUUUAAAUAUUAUUAUUAUUAUUAUCUUUAACUCUUUAUUCAAGUUAUAAUAUUCCAAGAGGACAAAAAUACUAUUCAUGUUUGAAUUAUUUAAAGAUAAGAUUCUCCAAGGACAACACACUAUCCAAGGAGAUAAGAACACUAUAUAUUCAUGUUUGAAUUAUUCAAAGAUAAGAUUCCUCAAGGACAACACACUAUCCAAGAAUUCAAGAUAAAAUCAAAGACAAAGUUUUGAUUUUUGUGAGAAAUUAAGGAGUCAUCCAUUGAAGAUCCAAGGGUGGACAUUGAAUGGCCAAGGCUAUAAAUAGAAGGGUAAUCUCCUCAUUUUCACUCACCACACUACAAACAAUCAAAGAGUUUUCACUCCACAUUUGAGCUCUCACGUUUUUGUCUUCAAGCUUCCAAGUGCUCAAGUGUCUAACUUUCCAAAAGCUUCAAAAACUCUUCAACUUCUUCUUCUGAUCUUCUUGUUCAUCUCUACAAGUAAGAAGUGUUGUUUGCUUAAAUAUUUCACUCUUUCUAAUCACCUCUUGUGUGUGUCCACUUUAGUUGAGAGGGUUGUCUCAAUAGUACCAAAGUAUGAGAGAAGGUUUUUGAGCUCAACCAUAAAACUCUAGUUUGUUUUAUAGAGUUUCCGGGAAAACUCUUAGGUCGAAUCUACCUUGAAAGAUAUCUAGGUUUUUAAGAGUUCCUUGAUACUCUAAGGUAUGAGUCUACCCGUAAAAGACGGGUUCCUAAGCGAAGUUAGUCUUAAAGCUUAGAGAGGUUUUUAAGAGUUCCUUUGAUACUCUAAGGUGUGAGUCUACCCGUAAAAGACUGGUUCCUAAACGAAGUUAACCUUAAAACUUAGAGAGGUUUUUAAAAAUUUCCUUGAUACUCUAAGGUUUUGUCAUUAUCUUUAGUCUAGUGAAUUCCGACAGUUGGUCGGGACUGGAUUAACCCUUGUUUGGGUGAACCAGUAUAAAUUCACUUGUGUUGUUCUUUGUUAACUUUAGUUUUUAUCUUUCAUCUAAAAACAACUAAACAACACUUAAUUGAAAAUGAUCCAUCUUCCAAUUAUCUGGUCAAAUACAGAGGUUGACUACUUUACGCAUAUCCCUUAUCUAGUUAUCUGGUCAACUAUCUGAUGUUAUAAUCAUUGCCUUAAAUCUUUAUUCAGAUAUUUAUUCAAGCAUUUAUUUAUCAAAUAUAUAUCCAGUUAUCUGGUCAUUUCUUUAUAACUUGCUUAUCAAAUAUAUAUCCAGUUAUUUGAUCAUUCACUCUAUAAUAUAACUUGUGCUUACAAUAUAACUUAAUAUUCAUAUACUAUAGUUGUUUGUGAAACACUAUCUAAAAGUUGACUCUGUAUUCAUAUACUGUAGUAAACUUCGAGAAAAAACAAGUCAAAUAUAUAAUAUUAUAAAAUAUUAUAUUAUAUUCCUUAAAAUCAUAUAAUAAUAUUAUAUUUUUAACAAUAUUUAUAUUAUUAUUAUUAUACAACCAUUUGUAUAUUUAAGUGUGUGCAGGUAAUUCUGCUGUUUAUCUGCAAAAAUCGAAAAUAGACUAUUAUCCUCUCUUAUAGUCUCGGAUCACGAUCCAACAUGGUUAUGACUUGUGGCCUUGUAAAAGGGAAUUGUUGUAGUAAGUAUGUAUUUAUUGAGAAAUUAAUUAGAUGGAACAUUAUUAUCUGAUCUUCAUGUAAUCUUCAACUCUGUUCUGAUUGGAUUAUAAAAUAUUUGUUACACGUGUCAUGUUUUAAGCAGAUAGGGCAAAAUCAAGGACAUGAUUAUGACUAAGUUUUGAGAUAUUAUUAAUACACGUGGCAUGUUUUAAGAUAGGAUAAAAUCUUGUGACAUAACAUUGAUUAGGUUUUAGAUAUUAUAAUUACACGUGGCAUGUUUUAAGAUAGGGCAAAAUCUAAAAUUAUACAAAGAAAUUGAGUUGGCAAGCACAGAGACCACGGAAGCAAUUGAAUGGAUGAGAUAUAAGUAGAUAAAUUAACGAUUGAAGCACUAUAUAUAUAUUGCACCUCAAAUAAUCCAUUAAUCACUCACUCAUCAUUUCGACAACUAAAACAAACACUUAACAACACACACAUCAAAAAUCUCGUCAAUGGCUUCCUCCAUUGCUGCUCUUUCUUCCCCUUCCCUCGCCGGAAAGGCCGUGAAGCUCGCCCAGGAGCCCAAUGCCAUCUUCGGUGUUGGAAAAAUCACCAUGAGGAGGAAUACAGUCAAUAAGUCAGUUUCGUCUGGCAGCCCAUGGUAUGGUUCCGACCGUGUCAAGUACUUGGGUCCAUUUUCUGGGGAAUCCCCAUCGUACCUUACUGGUGAGUUCCCCGGUGACUACGGAUGGGACACUGCUGGACUCUCGGCGGAUCCCGAGACCUUCUCCAAGAACCGUGAGCUUGAGGUCAUCCAUGCCAGAUGGGCCAUGCUCGGAACUCUCGGAUGUGUUUUCCCUGAAUUGCUCGCACGUAACGGAGUGAAGUUCGGCGAAGCUGUUUGGUUCAAGGCCGGUUCGCAGAUCUUCAGCGAUGGUGGUUUGGACUACCUCGGUAACUCCAGCUUGGUCCACGCUCAGAGCAUCCUUGCCAUCUGGGCCACCCAGGUGAUUCUCAUGGGAGCCAUUGAGGGAUACCGUGUAGCCGGUGGACCUCUUGGAGAGAUCGAGGACCCACUCUACCCCGGAGGCAGCUUCGACCCACUCAACCUUGCCGAAGACCCAGAAGCCUUUGCCGAGUUGAAGGUGAAGGAGUUGAAGAACGGAAGACUAGCCAUGUUCUCCAUGUUUGGAUUUUACGUUCAGGCCAUCGUCACUGGAAAGGGUCCAUUGGAGAACCUUGCAGAUCACCUCGCCGAUCCCGUCGCAAACAACGCAUGGAAUUACGCCACAAACUUUGUUCCCGGAAAUUAAUUAAUUACAUGAAUAUGGUCGAUUGAUUGAAUCUAUAAGUAAUUGAACAUAGCCUUUCUUGUUCGUGUAAAUGAAUGUGCAUUUGUUAAUGGGUUUCUUUUAGUAAUUGAGAUUUGAGAAUAUAAUUAAGCCAUUUAAGUACGCUUAAAACAGCAAAAUUUUAAAGCUUAAACCAGAAUUUUUUUCAUUACGGGCUGAUUUUAAAGCACUAAAAAUACUAUUUCAACAAAUAUUUUCAAUUGGACCGCAGUUUAUUUCUUAACAUCUCGCCUAAGGCGAAUUUUUCCUUUCUAGUAAUUAGUAAAUGUAUGGAGUAUGGACUGCUAUAUAUUGUAUUUUCAAAUUUAAAAUUACAAAUAUUUUGAUUUUUGAAAAAUAAUGAAUAGUAUUUAUAUUUACCAUGGAAUUUAUGAAUGUAAAACAAGUAAAAUUUGAGUUUAAAAGGUCCAGGUACGAUCAUGAAAUUCCUCAUCUUCAUACUAGUAAUUAGUAAAUGUCUAACCCAAAAUACAUAGUAAGUUAAUAGAGGAAUGAGUGUUGGCGAUCUCGAAGAAAAAAUUUGAUAAGCAUAGUUAUGUUUCUGGUGGAAAACAGUUCGGCACAACCUAUUGCAAUGCUUGUAAAUAUAAUCUGAUAAUGAUGAAUGAUGUGCUUUCAUGUUCAUUUUUGGAAUAAGAAUGGUAUUUAGAUUAGCUCAACUGGUAUUAUAUUUUAGAAAUCAUGAUAUAUAUGAAGACAUGGACAAGUUGAAUCUUCAGAUAACUUGGAUUUAAGAGAUCAACGAAAUUCACUAUUGGUUGUUCUUGCAACAGUCUGGAGAUAAAGUUUUUCAUACUGUACUGAUGAGGAAUUCCAACUAAAAUCUGUUCUCAUGUUCUUCUUUACGAGCUGUAGCCAGCCAUCUUUGUUACUUGUGUACAGAUGAAAUGCUCGUUCCAAAGCAUUGUUGAGCCCCUGAAGAUGGGAGAGGAAUUGAAUAGAUAUCAAUUAAUAGUGAAGCAGGCAAAAAAAACUAUAACCAAUGACAGUAGGGCUAUAAAACACCCACCAGUUCAUCUGCUUUUGAAAAUGUAAAUCCAUUUUUCAAUUGGGCAGGGAUUGCAUCAUCGUCGACAUCAAAAACACUUUAAGAGAUAAAUGCAAGGAUAUAAUCAAGUUUGAUAAAAAAACCUCAUUCAUAUAAUCAAAUUUAAAAAUGUACAAUACCUAAAUCUUGCCUACCUAUCAUUUAGCCCUCCUGUAUUUCGUACAAUAGGCACUGAACCAUAUCUCAUGGCAAUCAUCUGUUGAAUGGACCAUAUUACAUUGAAACUUUAUAAAAAAAUUAGGAGUUUAAACCUUUUGAUUCGACAAACAUUUCUGAAAAAAAAUUCUAAACAAUUUGCAAAAACGAGUAAAAUUUUCAAAUUUAGAUCAAGGUUCUAAACAUUUCAUAUUUUCAUAUGCUAUUUAUUGUAUGCUUGAUUGAUAAUAAUCUUAAAAAAUCUUUAAAAAAUACAGUAAAUUGUAUGCUUUAUUGAUAAUAACAAGACUGUAUCAAUGGAUUUAAGACACACGGAAUAAACUAAAACAUCACAAUAUCAAUACCUGUGUGAGACCACAUGGUUCAAAAAUAGAGGGCAUGACAAACAUGUCCGACGCUGCAUAUAUAAAAUGUGACAGAGCAUUAUCGUAUUUAAGCACUAGCCGAAUGUUCGGAUGAUUCUGAAAUUGAUUUGCGAUAUCCUCAAAUUCUCUCUGCAUUAAUAGGAAAAAAAUGUUAGAUAUAGAUGGCAUGUACAAUUGAUGUCAUUUUGAAAGAUAAAUGCUGGGAUGCUUCUAUCUCAAUCCAAUCCUUGUCCAAAUUUUGGUCAUAUUUAAUUUCUUACGAAACAUUAAUUAAAUUCCCACUAGUGAUUUCUCAUAAAGGAGUAAAAGUUAUAAAAAAAAACUCUCGGAGACUUCCAUUUCUUCAUAAAUAGCUUCAUUUCACAUAUAUCAUACAUUUAGUUAGAAACCAUGAGGUUGAAGUUCAGAACAAUGAAAUAGGGCUAGAAAAUAUGACAUUGAGAAGGAAACAUGACUGAUUAUAACUUGUACAAAAAGUACAAAAGGAUUAAUUUAAUUUGUCCAUGUGAAAAUAGAUGAGAAUGAUAAGAUGUUAUUACUAUAAUUAUAAGAGCUCAUACUCCUGCUUCAAAAAAAAAAGAGCUCAUACUUGAAUGUGAAUGAUGGGACUGGAACCUAAAAGAAUGAAUUGGCCUCCUAAUUCCAAUGUUCGAUAGAUAGCAUGCCUGAUAAGAUGCACACCUUUUUGUGGCACUAGUCGUGUAAUGCAAGCAACCUAUUCAAAACCAUAAAAACAUAAAAUUCGAUAUUUUGAAUGAAAAACAUAAAAUGAAAAAGAACAAAAAUCCAGAGAGUUGGUUACAAAAAUAACACAACUUUUACAUAAAGAAAGGCCAUGUGAAGUGGUUUACAUGCCAACACCAUGUAAACAUAUAUCUUAUAUUCUUACGGUAGAUAAGUAUACAUAAAUUUGCUGUGAUCAUGCUAACAAUAUCAAUUUGAAAGAUAUAUUGUGGACCAUCCACAUAUUUAAUCACAAAACUAAUCCUUUCGAUAUUCACGUCACUUUUCUGUCUUCUUAUAAAUACAUAAACCUUUAUAAAAAAAUCAAGUUACCAAGGGUUGAGAUGGAUUCUUUGUAGAAAGAUUUAUGUAUUUUCUUAUAGCAUCUUUAUUAUCAUCUUUCCCAUGCAGAUCAUCAGCAUUGUAAUGAAAUCUUAGAAAUGGGUCCGUAAAAGGGUUCCAUGUCUCCGUAUCAAUUCCAUUGACAAUUCCAGUAAAUUUCAAAGAGUGUAAGUUCAAUGUAUCAUGGAGCCCAUGCCCCCCCUACAAAAAAAGAAGCAAAUCAGCAAAGUCUAAUUUUUCUAAUCUCUGGCCAUUCUUGAAAUUGAACUAUUAAUUUAUUUAGAAAAAUGUGAAUAAAGGAACCGUUAGGGAGAAUCUAUAUAUAUUUCAAUUUUCAAGGACGUGAGCAUAAAUGAUUAAAUCAAACCUUAACAGAGUAGAAACAAGAGCUUAAAUGUCACGGAAAAUGAUGUAGACUAUAUGCUUCAUUUUGUAUUAUUUUUUUUGCAAAAAUUAAAUAUUUCUCAUUAAUAAUAAUGAAGGGCAGUACCCUGAAAUUACAAGUGGACAAGAAAAUAAAAUGUGGUGGGGUGAUAAAGUGGUUUCCCACACCAUCGACCUUCACCUAUAUGGUUUGCAUUCUUAGUGAUCAACUAACUAAUUAAGAGCUAAACCUCAGGAGGUUAUCUCUCAAACCUGCAAUGUAGUGUGUAGUCUUCUCCAUUUGUGAACCAGUCUUUCUUAAAGUCUGUUUAUUUAACUUUGUAUUCAUUAGUAGCCUGAUUAUGCUCUGUAUCAUAUGCUCUUGAAUCUACAAUGGCUAAAAUGGCACUUAUUUCAAGCAUCCUUUCAAUAAUUUAUUAAACAAACCUGAGCAGUGCGAACCUCAUCUGCAUAAGUUGGUGAUACAGUCGUCACAAUAUUAGAGAACACAAUCGCACCCUGAAAAGUAAUAUUUUAAAAAGCGUAAACAAACUUCACAAUAUUCUGAGCUUUGAUUUUUAAAAGGGAAACCAAAAAUUCAAAAAGAUGUAGGCACAUUACACAAUUAAAAGUAACAAUGAUGCAUGAUUGCCUUUUAUUACAAAAAGCAACGAUUCGAUUGAAACCUUAACAAGAUUGAUUCUGUCAUGAUUUAAAUUGUCCAUCAUUCUAUCUGCUCGAUGUAGUCGACGAAUGCCAAGUCCACAAGAUGCCAAUUCUGAAGCAUGUGCCGUUCCCUGAUACUCAAAGUUGUGACAUGUGAAACAUAUUUUUGCAAAAUUAAAUCCAACUACUGCAUAUAACUCCCAGUAGAGUGGUGGCUGUAAGAAAAAACAUUACGAAUAAUGACACAAACUGCAUAAGUAAAACAUAUAUAUUUACUAAAGGAAAAGCUUCAUGCUUACAAUGAAAGCUGUUUGCCAAUCAUGACAAUGAAUUAUAUCAGGUUUCUUUCCAAAUUGACAAAUAAAUUCGAGAGCUGCACGACUAAAAUACGAAAAACGUUUGAAAUCAUCAUGUACUCCAUAAACAUUUCCUCGCAAAAAAAACUGAGCUGGAUGAAGGGGUUCAAUGAAAUAAACAGGUAGACCUGAGUAAUACAAUAAUGGUGAUCAGAAAGGUGUGAACAAUAAGUGGGAGAAAAAUGAAAUAAUACCUUCAAUAGUCCCAAACCAAAUUUUGUUUUUGAAUAGAUGACCAUCAAAAUAAGAUUCUAUUACCACAUCUAGGAUCUACAAGGAGACGAAAAUCACGAAACAGCACAGAACAUCAAAUCACUGCACAUGUUUCUGGAGUACAGUGCAAGAUACACUUAAUGACAAAAUAUAAAUUAAAAAAAGUAUACUUGUAGAUUGUCAAUUUCUCCGAUUUGCAUACAAUCAUAUUUAGGCAAAAUAACUUCGACAAGAUGGCCUCUUCUUUGAAGUGCUUUACAAAGACCGGUGACAACAUCACCCAAACCACCAACCUUGUGAAAAAAAGUCAUACAAGCAUGAGAGGGUUUGUAGCUCAUUGUGGUCCAAAGAUAAACAGAAAAUACACACAUUGUCAUAUUUUUGAAAUAUAAAGCUACUACAUAUCAAAGUUACCGUCAUUGAUAUGAAUGGAGUAGAAAAAUUAGAAAUCUAUGAAUAAUGUAAAGAAAUCCAUCUAGUGAAAUCUCGAAGAUCAAAAAAAUUAAUGCCUUGUCAGAAUGAUAUGUGAUGAUGUUUGAACCAAGUUGGGCCAGAGCACCUUAUAGAGCAAGUCGAGUUGUCUUAUGUGUGAAAAGGGGUUUGAAUUAGAAUACAUGUUCUAUUCCUGUGUUCAGAAGUCUCGAGUAGUUUAUCUUCGUUAGUCAUCUAUUUAUCGAGGUCUUGUAAACGUUGUGGAAUUAAACACGUCUGCAAUGGAUAUAUGAUAGAAAAGGCAUUUCAGUUUAACCACUUACGGGUGAUCCAAACCUAUUUGGGUCAAGUAAAAUUUAUGUGGGUGAGUGAGUCAUCCAACAACUAAUCCACAGUCAACUAUUCAUUUAGACAGUCUAGGGUUUAUUUUAAAUUUUAACCCCAACGAGUCUAAUUGGCUUUAUCAAUCUGGGUUAUUAUUUUUCUAAGGAAUUUAUUAGUUCAACAACUAUCAGGUUUUCGUCUUAUUUUUAAAAAAGGAAUUAAAUACAUCUGCAAUGGAUAUAUGAUAGAAAAGGAAUUUCAGUUUAAGUGUUUAACCACUUACAACUUUACAAGUGAUCCAAACAUAUUUGGGCCAAGUGAAGUUUAUGUGGGUAAUCGGUAAUCCAACACUAACCCACGGUCAACUAUUCAUUAAGACAGUCUUGGAUUUAUUUUAAGUUUUAACCCUAACGAGUCUAAUUGGCUUUAUCUAUUUGGGUUAUUAUUUUUCUAAUUGUCUUUAUCAGGUUUUCAUCUUAUUUUUAAACUUAUUGUAUUUCCUAAUAAAGUACUAUAAUUAAAUCUACUGAUAUACAUAUAGGUAUGAAAUCUAAGUGUUCAAUUGGUUUCAAAGAACAGUACAAAAGGUCAAUAGUCAAUACUGAAAACCACUUCACCUACCUUGACAACUGGAGCCAUCUCUGCUGCAAUAUGAACGAUAUUCAGACCAGAGCUUCAAAAAUGACAAAUAAAAUCCUUAAUGAUAAAAAAGUAAUAUUUACAACGACAUAUAUAAAUUCAACUCAGAAAAGUAAUAUUUAUGCGGAUGAUGUGUUGAUUUUCUCUAAGGCAAAUACCAAAUCUUUAAAUACAAUAAAAAAAGUCCUGGAGAAAUUCUCAUUUUACUCUGGUCUAAAAAUUAACUCAGUAAAGAGCUUAAUGGCCUUCUCGAAAAUGUGUUGAUGACAUCCCUUCGAAUCAUACUAACUAGGUUUUCACACCAAACCACUCCCACUCACAUAUCCAGGUCUCCCAAUAACAAGUAAGAAAAAAAAUCCUAUAAUCAGUGUUGGAAACUAAUCCAAUCCAUAGAAGCUAUGCUAGCUAAAUGGAGUGGGAAGUGCCUCUCCUAUGGAGGGAGAAUCCAAUUACUAUAUUGGAUCCUAACAGGGAAGUAUACCUAUUGGGCCCAAGGCACUGCCCUCCCUGAGUCAAUUGCUAGCAAAGUAAGGAUAUUAGCCUAUAAUUUCAUAUAGGACGAGAGAAAGGGGAUCCCAUGGAAGCAGAUGAUCCCCCCCAAAGCAGAAGGUGGAUUAAGUGUUAGAAAUCUAGAAGUCAUAGUUCCAGUAAUAAACAUCAAAAGAAUUGACAUGUUUUGGGGAAAUCUGACUCCAUCCUAAGUCCUAACUAGUUGGAUACAAAAGAGAUAUAUCAUGUAAAAGGAAAAGCCCUUAUGAAUAUACAAACCAGAAGCUCCAUAGACUCCCAUUUAUGGAAAUAUGUUAUGGGAUAUAGGACUAAAGCUAGUGCAUUGAUUGAAUGUGGCCCAAACUACACAACUCUCUGAAAAAUGGGAGCCCAAAUAGGAAACUUACAUCAAUCUGUGAGGAAAUUAAAGACAAAAGCCAUAAAGAAUUAAAGACAACUUAGUUGAAGGAAUAUGUGCACAUAAACCUUUAAUUUUUUUAAUUUUUCUAUGGAGAACAAAAUGGAUUCAUCUAAAUACUUUUAUUAGGCUGAAAUCUGAAUGGGUGGGGCAUGCCCAUCCAGCCCACAUGCUUGUCAUGCAACAUAGAGGAUGACUCUAAAACUCACCUAUUCUUCAAUUGCACUUACACUAGAGUCAUCCUUCUACCCCUAAUUGAAAACCUAAAUAACAUUUUCUGGAAAAUACUCAACAUAGCCACACCUACCACAAACCAUCCAGACAUCAGGUUAGGAAACCUCACUGAUUUGGGGUCAUUCAGAAACUAACACAUCACUCUCCAAUUUAGGGUCUACUAUGGAACAUGAUUGGAUCUCUUAUGUCGGCAUAUUUGGGCAGAAAGAAACUGCAGAUGUUAACAACAUACACUCAGGUCACCAGAAACAAUUCUGAAACAGGUCACGAAUGACAUGAGCAUCUCUUUCAGGCACGAAUGCUUCAAGAAGAGUUGUCGUCAUCCCUUGGAGACCAACACAAUACAGAUAUGGAAGAUCAACCUCCAGAGGCAGACAACCUAAUUCUUAUUAGGCAAUAUGGCUGAUUGGAAAGUGUCAAGAUUAGCCUAGUGCUCAUAUCCAUGUUUUUAUUUUAUUUGUUGAACUCCAUUGAAUCUACAGGGAAUGUCCAUUUUUAUCAAUGAGAAACUUAACUGUUUCAAAAAAAAAUCAACCCAAUGUACGUAAUUUCAAUAACAUAUAAAUUCUCAAGGACUUGAGUACUGCACUCAAGGAUUUUAAUAACAUGAAUACGUGAUAGGCUGAUAUUAAACACUAUUUAUCACUUUGUGUUUACCACUAAAACUGCAUAUAAAGUUAGAACGAACUAAAUUUUUCUUUGAAACAAUAGAGUAGUUACAAUUUCCUACGUUAUUCCUUGACUAAUAGGAAUCUAAAUUCUCAACGCUAAUAGAUAGAAAUCAUCUUAAAAUUGAUGUGACAUUAAUUGGCCAAUAUAUAGCUAACCGACUAGAAGAUUGUUUUGGCUAUUCUACUAUUCCAAAUUUAAUCAAGAGUUCAAAGCCUUAAAUUUUGACUAUAUCAUCGAUUUUCUCAUUACUUUACUAGGCAUAUUAUAUAACAUAAAAAACUUCCAAGUGAUGUAACAGGAUAUGUACCUUGAUUGAGAUGAUAUAAUUUUAAGGAAUGUGUCAAUAACCUUCUGCUGAAUUUCUCCAUUACAAAUGAAAUAUGCAUCCUUAAUUCGAUCGUCUCUUUUCCAUGCCAUUUCCCUCAAUAAUAUUGCAUCAUUGGAAGAUAUUUUCUUCUCAAGUAACCAUGAAUCAACCAUCGAUAGUACGUGAUUCCACAAUUCCUGUGGCAUAUCGUCAAGAGAUCCAUUUGACAAUUUUCCCAUACUUUCUUCUUUAUGUUUACUUACUAUGUCCUGUAACUCUUUCACAGAACCUUGAUAUAUAGGAACAUUAGCAUUUAUUUUUUCAUCCGACAUUUGAAUUUGAUUCUCCAAUAUCUUUACUCUCUGUAGUAAAAUUUCUUUACAUUCUUUAUUCUCAUCAGAAAUAAAUCGAUCAGGAUUUGAUGCUUUGAGUAAGGCUUCUAACUUCUCAACUUUUCUUUCUAGUUCGUCAUUUCUUUUUAGGAUUCUGUCUGCUUGAUCAGCAUGUUUUGUUGCAGUAUCAAGUAGAGCAUGCAAGCAUUCUAUCUUAUAAUGGAGGUCUUCACAUUCGGUUUUUAAAAUAGAGAGCUUGGAAACAUCUUUCUGUGCCACAGAAAGCAUAAAUUCUAACUCUUUUACAGAAGCCAACAGUUUAGAUCGUUCGUUUUCAAGUGAAAAAACUCGUUCAUCUAUCGCUUGAACAUUUCUCAGUUUGUCUUUAAGCAUUUUUAUGUCAGAUUUUAACACCAUAUUUUCAUUUCUUAUGCGGUGAUUCUCGUGGUCAUCAGUUUCUAUUGUGUGUAUUUCAUUUUUAUGAACAACAUUCGUUUGUGCAUCAUCUUCUACCAAUUUCAUCUCAAGAGCAUUCACCUUUUGCUGCAACAUCUCCUUCUCAACAAGUAUCAUCUUAAGCUCUUUAAGGGCAUUGUCAUGAACUUUAACAAUCAAAAAGAAAAUAGGCAAAUUCAUCAUUAGUAGUACAAUAUGAUUACGUAUAUAAAAAAUAUAAACAUCAAGCUGUAUUCUUACUCUUUUCUGGAUUAUUGAUCGUGUGAAAUAAAUCAUCAAGCUCGAUUCUUGAGGAUUGGUUUUUAUCAUUGACAUUUUUAACCUGUUGAAUGAUGUUAUUUUUUAAAAUGAAUACGUAAGACAAAUUAACCACAUAAAAUGAAGCAAAAGAGAUAUCGAAUAAGAUCAAAUUUCCUUAUUAUAAGCAUAAGUGUAAACUAAAAUAAUAAACGUGAUUGAUCUUUUUUUCAUGUAUAAAGAGAAAAUUAAACCAAAGAUUACCUCGUUUGUUUCAGAAACAUUGUUAAUACCAUUAGAAUCCUCAUUAGCUAUAGUUUGGUUAUGAGAAUAGAAUAUACAAUCAGGAAUGGCAUUUUGAUCUAUUGUAUCUUCUUCAUCAUUAUGUUGUAUUUUCGGUUUCAGUAGAGGUUUCUCCUGGGAGUCAUUUUUCAAUUGGAGUCUUCUUAGUUGGUAACUGCAUAUAAAUAAAUGGUCAACCUAAUUGAUAAGAAAAUGCAAUCGACUUUAGCAUAACAUUUUUUCUUGAGGUGCACGAUUAAGUAUAUUCUAAUUGUUAAUUAUCGUUUAAGUUUACAUAACUAUAUAAGUAAAAUUACUUAAAUAACGACAUUGGAGGUGAAUAAAAACCGUUAGGGUUUAAAAAUUAAAGUGCACAGUAUUUCAUUCAGGAGAAAUUCUCACUUUAAAAACUAGACUCGACUAAAACAUUUAUUAGAGAUGUCAAUAAGUGGGAGAGAUACUCGAUCCCUUUUCAUUCACAAUGAGUAUCAUAUAUAUGAUAUGAUACGAUACUAAUUAGUGAUAUGAUAUAUGAUAUGAUAUGAUAUGAUAUAUCAUAUAUCAUAUGAUAUGAUAUGAUAUAUGAUAUGAUAUAUCUUAUCAAUUAGUGAUAUAUCAUAUCAUAUAUGAUAUCAUAUCAUAUAUAUGUAUCAUAUCACUAAUACUCCCCCCUCAAGUCUGAUGAUGUGAACAAAUCAGCUUGUCCUUGAGAUCUUUGAAGAGUUUGGGUUUCAAUGCUUUAGUGAGAAUAUCUGCUUGUUGUAGAACAUUCGGUAUGUGUUGCACAACAAGAGUUUUGUCCUCCAUUCUUUCUUGAACAAAUCUGAAAUCCAUGGCUGCAUGUUUGAUUUUAGAGUGAUAAACCGGAUUGGCAGCCAAAUGAGUUGCUCCUAAGUGCACAAACAAUGAAGGAUCAGAUUGGCUUGGUAUAAAACCCAUUAAAUUCAGCACCAUUUUUAGUCUGCGAAACCACAUCCUUGAAGAUUGUUUGAGACUAUAGAUAGCUUUCUUCAAUAGGCAGACGUGAUUUGGACAUGAUUCAUCCAUAAAGCCUCUAGGUUGACGCAUUAAAAUCCUCUCUUUCAAUUGACCACGUAAAAAUGCAUUACCUAUGUUAAUUUGAUUAAGUUUCCAACCUCUUGAAACUGCAAUAGUUAAUACUGCACAAAUAGAUACAGAUUUUACAACUGGACUGAAUGUCUCAUUGUAAUCUCUGCCUUCAAUCUGAUCACUCCCAUUUGCCACUAGCCUUACCUUCAAUCUGUCCACACUGCCAUCUGAUGCCAUAUUAGAGAUGUCAAUAAGUGGGAGAGAUACUCGAUCCCUUUUCAUUCACAAUGAGUACCAUAUAUAUACAACUUAAUACUACAAUAACAUAUAUCAUAUCACUAAUUAGUAUAUCAUAUAUAUGUAUCAUAUCACUAAUAAUUCUUGAAGUUGAAAAUGUUAUAAUUCAAGGUCAUUCUUAUUUCUUAAUGAAGAUGGAUGAUAACUAAAGUACUUGUAUUUCGAUAAGGUAAAAAAAAAUACCGUCAACAUUCAACCAUGAAUCCAAUUCUCCAAAUUCCAAAGCCCUAAACCCUAAACCCCGCAGAAGUUGCCAAAACAUCAUCCCACCGUUUUGACUUAAUUUGUAAUAAGAAAAAGAGCAAAACUGUGUUAAAACUAUGAUUCUUCUGGUAUUUAGAAUUCAUAACAAAUGAUGAAUGUAUGUUACAUCAUUACUAAACCAGAACGAAAUUUAUGCGGUGUGUACCUGUCGUUUCUUUUCCCCGUCUUACAGGAAACAGCGGAGAAUAACCGGAGAGAACGAAACGGCCUGAGAUCAUUCGUAUUCCGAUGAUUGUUGAGCGAGAAAAAUAUCAUCCCACCUGACGCAUCCGUCGCCACCAUUAUCAUACAGCGAUCUCUCUCUAUCUGACUCUGUGAAUAUGUCAGUUACUCAGUUGUUGUAGUGAAAGAGAGAGGAUAAAUAAUAACUUGAUGAUGUGACGUCUUUUUAAUCGUUGGAAUUUUUAUAAACGGUCAGAUUGAAAUACAAAGACGUUGAGAUCUGUGCCAAAAUUAGAAAAUAAAUCGAACAGAAGUUGAGUCGUCCGGCGAUCUCUUUAUUCAGAUUUCCCCCAUUGAUGCCGAUCAUGUAAGUUGCGAACAUAUUCCUCUGUGAUUACUGUUUUACUGCUAUAUUGUUCCAUCUUCUGGUUUGGAUAAUGUAGGGUUUUCUUUCCACCCCAGAUCAAUUUACUUGGGGCGACUCCCUCAUUCUAUCUGUAUAAUUUGUUUUGUUUACUGCUUUCUUUGUAUAAUGCUUGGUGCAUAAAAAAAUUUAAAAAAUUACAGGUAUGAAAUGAACAGGAUGACUUUGGUAGCCUCUUUUGUACUUUCACUAGUUUUAUUGGCACUGGUACUUCCAGUCUCAGCUGAGGGACUCUUCAAAAUUAAACUGAAGAAGAAACCUCUUGAACAAAACAACCAAGUUUCUAUGAGGUUUUUGCCCAAGAACAGGCACUCACAAUGGCCUUAUGCUCGUAAUUAUGGUCUUAAUGGUAUUCUUAGAGGUGAUGGAGAAGGUGAAGUUGAUAUUGUCUCUCUUAAGAACUAUUUAAAUGCCCAAUAUUUUGGCGAGAUUGGUAUUGGCACUCCACCACAGAAUUUCACUGUUAUCUUUGACACUGGGAGCUCUAAUCUCUGGGUUCCAUCCACCAAGUGCUAUUUAUCGGUGAGAUUUCUUUGGUUGUAUUAAUUAUAUAGACAUUGUAGUAUUGUACUGUAUUGUUUAAGGGACGGAAUAAGUAGUAAUGAAUGAUAUUUGCGUCUUUUUUUUGGGGUGUAGCUGGCUUGUUAUUUCCAUUCUAGAUACAAAUCGAGCAAAUCAAGUACCUACAACAAAAAUGGUUAGUUUUCUUCAAUUAUUCAUUCGCAAUUUUGAUUAGUUUGCUAUUUGUAUUUAAUACAUCUGACUACUUUCAUUGUUAUGUUUUUGGUUCAUAUUCCUGCUUUCAUGUAAUUUGUUAUUAGUACUCAUUACUGACCUAACACAAUACCAUAUUUUUCUUCUUUGUUGUUCAGAACUUCAGGUGCAUUGAUUUUUUUUUAUUAUCUUUCUUGGUAUUGCAUAUUAAAGAUACAUCUGUAAAUUUUAUUUUGUGUGCUUCUACCUUGAGCAGGAACGUCUGCAGCAAUUAAAUAUGGAACUGGUGCCAUUUCUGGGUUUUUUAGUAAAGAUAGUGUUGAAAUUGGUGAUCUUAUUGUUAAAAAUCAGGUUGAACUUGUACCUGAUGACUAAUGUCAUACCAUAAAUUUGGAAUGCUUUUUUCAUAUUAAAAUUAUUGGUCAUGUAGGAUUUCAUUGAAGCAACGAGGGAACCUAGUUUAACUUUUUUACUAGCAAAAUUUGAUGGUAUACUUGGUCUUGGUUUCCAAGAAAUCUCGAUUGGAAAAGCAGUACCUGUAUGGUGAGUUCAUUUUUUACGAUCUUUCAAGUUUCAUCCAUCCAAGUUUACAGGAACUAAGAAUGUAUUUUAAAUCAAUCACCAUAGGUAUAAUAUGGUCGAUCAGAAUCUUGUCAAAGAACCUAUUUUCUCUUUCUGGUUCAAUCGAAAUGCAAACGAAGGGAUUGGUGGUGAAAUUGUAUUUGGAGGAGUUGAUCCUGAUCACUAUAAGGGUGAGCAUACUUACGUACCUGUUAGUCAUAAAGGUUAUUGGCAGGUAAGUUUUUCUCUAUUUUGAAAUGAUUAUAAAUCGGUCCACAAAAUAAUGAGUUAUGACUUGCGAGAUAUUAAUCUUUUAUAUAUAUAUAUUAAUAAUGCAGUUUGAUAUGGGUGAUGUUCUUAUUGGCAAACAAAGCAGUGGUAAAUUUCGUUCUUUUCUCUCUCUCCUUACCUUUUUUGUUCUCAAGUUAAACCUUGAUAUCUUUUUAGGAUUUUGUUCCGAAGUAUGCUCAGCAAUUGCUGACUCUGGAACCUCUUUGAUUGCUGGUCCUACAGUAAGGAAAACACAUGCUAUAAACAGAUUUUUAAGCACUAUAAAGAGUUAUUUAAUUUAUUCAUACAUAUUUUUUGCCAUGCAGGCUACUGUUACUGAAAUCAACUAUGCUAUUGGAGCUGCUGGUGUUGUAAGCGAGGAAUGCAAGACCAUAGUUGCAGAGUAUGGAGAAAUGAUAUUCCAAUUUCUGGUUUCAGAGGUAACUUUUAUGUGUAAAACUGUAAUUACUUGGUUGAUCUGUUUAAAACUGUAAUUAGGUUUAACAUUCAUUUGCUGGGUUUUGAUGAUGUGUAGACACAACCAAGUAAAAUAUGCUCUGAGAUAGGUCUGUGUGAGUUCAAUGGAAUCCAAGGAGUUGGGUUAGUUCACUCAUACAUGAUUUCUUAGUUACGUGUUCUUGGUUUAACAACAUUUCUCUAUGAACACAGUAUUGGCAUUGAGAGUGUGGUUGAUGGUACCGGCCUUCGAAGUGAUGUUAUGUGCAAUGUCUGUGAGAUGAGCGUUGUAUGGAUUAGAAAUCAACUUAUACAGAAUCGGACACAAGAAUCCAUAUUAAAUUACGUCAAUGAGGUGAAGGGAAAAUAUCAUUUAAUGUUUUUUUGUAGGAUUUAUAUUUGUCAUUAAGAAUAAUCCAUUGCAGUUAUGUGAACGAUUGCCGAGUCCCAUGGGAGAAUCAGCUGUUGAUUGCAGCAACCUUGCCUCUAUGCCUACUGUUUCUUUCACUAUAGGAGGCAAAAUAUUUCCACUCAAACCCGAGGAGGUAAAUCUGCAUAAUUAGGAUCAAAGAGGUCGAUAAUUGACAUAUACUUAUGCUAUCACUUUUCCUGUACGUGCAGUAUGUACUCAAAAUUGGAGAAGGUGGUGCUGCCCAAUGUAUCAGUGGAUUUACAGCUAUGGAUGUGCCGCCUCCUCUUGGCCCUCUUUGGUAUAUUUCAUUCAACUCUCCGUGGAUAAUCAAACCGCUGGCUAUGUAUAUAUAUUAUGCAAUUCCCUUUUGCCCCUUGCAGGAUAUUGGGAGAUGUUUUCAUGGGACCAUACCACACUGUGUUCGACUAUGGAAACUUAAAAGUUGGGUUCGCUGAAGCUAUGUAGACCUUAAUUUCUCUAUAUCACUUAUACAUAUAUAUGAGAACGAAUCAUCAGAGUCUGUGUGCCUGCCAGAUCUAAACCUUUUUUAUCUUUGUAGUUUGUUCUGGUUUUAAAUCUAUCGCGUGUUUUAAAUCUAUCAUUAUCAACCUCUUAAUUACCUGUUUUUUUGUUGUCAAACUAACAAUGUAACAGGAUGGGUAUUCUUGCAGUGACCAGAAAUAACAUGGUGAUUUUCUUCUUCGAAACAUUUUGCAAUUUAUAGAGAUUCAAUCUUGGAAAAAGGAUAGUCAAAGUCGUAUUUAAUAUCUGUGAUAUCGUUGCAGUGCCCGAGGAAUAUUCUCCAGACAGCAGCAUUGGGCUGGAAAGGCAUAUUGCUGAUAACCUUCUCUGCUUCUUUAAGGUAUCCAUUCUUACACAGCAAAUCCACAACACACACAAAGUGAUCCAUGUCAGGUUCAAUUCCAUAUAAGCUCUUCAUAUCUCGGAACAACGCCAUUCCUUCUUCCACCAAGCCGGUGUAUCUGCACGUCGAAAGAACAGUUACAAGAGACACUCUGUCUGGUAUGAACCCUUCUGUUUCCAUCUGUUUGAAUUUCUGCAAUGCUAAUAUUCCAUGGCCAUGAAUCCCCAAUGCUGAUAUCAGAGCUGUCCAGGAAACCAUGUUCUUUUCACCCAUUUCUUUGAAAACUUUUAAAGAGCCCUCAAGAUUUCCACAUUUCCCGUACAUAUCAAGCAGGACGUUUUGGACAAACAAGUCAAAUGACUCGAAUUGCACCUUGAUUAGAAGUCCGUGAAGAGAAGUACCUAGACCAAGACAAUUGAGGUCUGUACAUAAACUGAGCAGACCCACAGCUGCGUAAUUAUCUGGAAAAUUCUUGCCAAUCAUCAUCUGUUUGAGGAUUAGAAAAGCUCCAGAAAGAUCUCCAGACCGAGAACAUGAAGCAAUCAAUAUGUUCCGUGAAGUAGCAGUGACAUCUCCAGUGUCAUUAAUACAACCCAGUAAUCUCUGAGCAUCGCUGUAUCUGCCGGAUCGAUUAUACGUUGCUGCAAUUAUGUUGGCAGACACAGAGUUCAAUGGCGUUUUAAGUAAACUAGCGUAUCCCAAGGCAUCGGAGAAGUAUCCAUUUGAAGAAUACGAAGACAUCACAGCAGCAGAAACGUAGCCGUCGUCUGAAUAUCCCAUCCUGAUGAUCAGGGAGUGGAUCUGGUUGAGCUCCGGAAAUGAAGAUCCUUUAACUGCUGAAGAUAGCGUGAACUCAUUCGGCCGACACAUGCCGUUGUGAAGCAUGAUUCUUAGAGGAAUGACUGUUGAAUGGUCAUUGUUUACGUAUCCUGUGAUCAGUGUAUUCCACGAAACAACGGUUUUCGUUGGUAUUUCUUCAAAGAUUUUCUCGGCGUGUUUGAGGUGUUUGUGAUUAGCGUAGAAAUGCAGUAAAGCGGUGCCUGUGAAUUCAGACUUAGCCAGACUGUUCUUUAUGGCUUUGGCAUGGAUUAUUUCGCCAAAGAAGAACUCCGGCGGAUCGAGAGAGCAACAAGCCGUGAUGGUGCUUGUGAAUGUUGUUUCGGUUGGAUGGUACCGGCCGUCAAAAACCAUAUUGAAGAAGAAUUCCACGGCUCUACCUGGCCUGCGACUCUUCGAAAAGGCCGUGAUUAUCGUGUUCCAUGAAAUUGUAUCGGAGUUUGUCAUAGUAGUAAAGAGUUUCUCCGCAGUUUCCGGGCUUCCGGAGGAAACGUUGGAGUACAUCUCGAGUAGUGCAUUUGUUAAAGUGACAUCGGAUUCCAUCCCUAAUCUGAUUACAAUUCCGUGUAUAGUUUCUCCGUAUAAAGAAAACUCCGGCGAUCGGCCUAUCGUGAGAAGAGUCAGGAACGUGAAAGAAGAAGCCUCGAUACCGCCAUGACCGCGGUUCCUCCAAAGCUCCCGGAAUAGAAUCGUGCAGUCGUUGGUAAAUCGAUGAUUGGCAAAUGCAGCAAUCAUUGAAUUCCAUGUGAUGACCCCUCGUUCCGGCAUCUCCAUGAACACCUUCAACGAAUCAUUCAGAUUCCCUUGUUUCCCAUAAAACCCCAAGAGCGCCGUACCGGAGAAUUGAUCGGAGUUCAGUAUACCAGAUUUCAACAUCAAAGUAUGCAAACACACUCCAUUUUUUAACUCCAAUGCCGAAGACGAGCCCAACAGACUUCCGAACGUGAAUUUCGUUGGUCUGAUUCCGGCGACUCCUAGCAUCUUCGAAAUAAUCUUUAAGCAUUUCCCAACGUACCCAUUUUGGGAGUACCCCGAAAUCAUGGAGUUGUAGGACACAGAGUUCCGUCGGGGCAUUCUUUCGAACAGUUUCUCAGCAUCGGAGAGGUUGCCUGCAUUGAAAUAAGCAGUGAUGACACGGUUGUAAAAACAAACAUCUGGAUCGGAGUUGGAUGUGAUGGAGAUUGCGUGGGUAGGUUUGGCUGAUUCUUCUGUGAUUUCGGUCCAUGUUGUAAUGAACUCCGCCGACGGCAGGUGGUAUCGGUAAUGUUGGCAUUUGGGUUUUAAAAGAGAAUGAAGCAUCAAUGAACAGAUAUUUUUCUCAGCUGGUCAAACGAAGAGGAAUAUUUAUAAACACACUUCACUUUCAUGGAAACACGUAGUUUACAAUAUUACACGCUCUUUAAUUAGUUUCCGGGAACGAAGUUUGUGGCGUAAUUCCAUGCGUUGUUUGCGACGGGAUCAGCGAGGUGGUCUGCAAGGUUCUCCAAUGGACCCUUUCCGGUGACGAUGGCUUGAACAUAGAAUCCGAACAUGGAGAACAUAGCUAGUCUUCCGUUCUUCAACUCCUUCACCUUCAACUCGGCGAAGGCUUCUGGGUCUUCAGCAAGGUUGAGUGGGUCGAAGCUGCCUCCGGGGUAGAGUGGGUCCUCGAUCUCUCCAAGAGGUCCACCGGCUACACGGUAUCCCUCAAUGGCUCCCAUGAGAAUCACCUGGGUAGCCCAGAUUGCAAGAAUGCUCUGAGCGUGGACCAAGCUGGAGUUACCGAGGUAGUCCAAACCACCGUCGCUGAAGAUCUGCGAACCAGCCUUGAACCAAACAGCCUCGCCGAACUUCACUCCGUUACGUGAGAGCAAUUCAGGGAAAACACAUCCAAGAGUUCCGAGCAUGGCCCAUCUGGCAUGGAUGACCUCAAGCUCACGGUUCUUGGAGAAAGUCUCGGGAUCAGCUGAGAGACCGGCAGUGUCCCAUCCGUAGUCACCGGGGAACUCACCGGUAAGGUACGAUGGGGACUCCCCAGAAAAUGGACCCAAGUACUUGACACGGUCGGAACCGUACCAUGGGCUACCAGACGAAACUGACUUCUUGACUGUAUUUCUCCUCAUGGUGAUUCUUCCAACACCGAAGAUGGCAUUUGGCUCCUGUGCUAGCUUCACGGCCUUUCCGGCGAGGGAAGGGGAAGAAAGAGCAGCCAUGGAAGAAGCCAUUGAGGAGAUCGGGUUAUGUGUUCUUUGCUUGACUCUGUGAAUUAUUGAGUGAGUGAGUUUUUGAUGGUUUAUUGAUGGUAAUAAAUAGUGUUUGUUGAUUUAUCCACAGAAUCACAAAUAUCGCAUUCAUUCAAUCGUUCUUUAGAGCUUCUAUGGUCUCUGUGUGUGCCAACUCAUCUUCUUCAGAUUUUCUGUACUCUGUCAGUUUUUAGAUUUUUUAUCCUAUCUUAAAAAACUCCACGUAUGAUCGUGUAAUAAAUACAAAAUACCUUACAGUAUGCCACGUGACUGUUCUUUGAUAUUUUCUAUCUUAAAAUAUACCACGUGGAAUUAGUAGUUACAAUGCCACGUGGAAUCCGCGCCGGUUCCAGGUGAGACCGGACAUUCGCAGCCUGCUUCAGUUUCGCAGGUGAAGCUGGCUCUAUAUAAUGAUUUGAAUUAUUUUAAUAGGAUUAACAUAUAUGAUUUGAUUUGAUUUGAAUUGAAUUGAAUUGAAUUGUUCUUCAAUCCAAAUAAUUAACAAUAUCGAUAAACAUAGUUUAUGAAUCUGGAACAUCAAUCUGGUGUCUAGAUUAUGGGGCUACGGAUCAUAUUACCGGAGAUGUCGCAAAUAUUCAAAAUCCCAAAUCUUGCAACAAGUCAAUUGAUGAUGUCUUUAGUCCAUCAGAUCAGGUUCAUCCAAGAUCAGGUUCAUCCAAGAUCAGGGCUGAUAGGCCUAGUAAGGUAAAUAGAAUGGGUGGGUCUGUUCCACCCGACGGGUCUUGGUUCGGGCGGACCGGCAGACUCAUCCGUCGGGUCGUCCAGGUUCGCUUGUAGAACCUAUCGGGACGGAUUUAGGCUCAAUUUAGUAGAAAAAUAUAUAAAUACCCUCAGGGGUUAAACGUAGAGGAAAGAGAACAUUUGUAGUACACUUGUAAUAGAAAUUGUCUGAUAUAUACUCAAUAUAAGACGAUCAUCAAUCAAUGCAGCAGAUCGACGGACACCCCUCUGAUAACAGAAAAUACGUUCUUGAUGAUUUAUUAAUGGUUCCCACAACAACUAAGAAUAGUAAAGAGAUUCUAUUGCGACAGUCGAGUCUCAAUUGAAUUUGAUUCACAGAUCGUAAAGGUGAAGCUAAGGAUCUUAGGAUAAGGAACACACUCUUCGUCGACAAAGACAGAGAUAGUCUGUACAAACUUCAAUUCCAUUGACUGUUAGCAGCAUUUUUCAGGCAAAUCAAGCGAUGAUGGGAGACAAAGCUAAUGCAAGAACAUGCUAUUUGUGACUUUGUCACUUAAAUAGUAAAGCAAUGGAGAGAUUGAAUUAAUAAGAACAAAUUGAUUUCUGUUUUGGAUGUAGAUCAUAUAAAAGAUGUUUGUGAAGAAUGUUGUAUCAAUAAAUUACAUAAAAUUCAACAUGUAUCACAAUCUAUACGAAUUCAUUGGACGAACGUCGAUCGAUCACCAGAAGAUCGAGAGGGAUAGUAAAACCUAAUUCCAAAUAUGUGUUUGCAAUUGGUCCGACGAGAAAAACUAAAGGAGAAGAUAUUGAUGAGUUUCAUGAGUGAAGAACAUCUUGAUCAUAUCUGAUUGAAAAGUGGAGGGUGAUGGUGUGUGGGCUCGCGUUAGGGGGUUAACACACACAACUCUUUAGUAUUUCAUGAGUGAAGAACAUCUUGAUCGUGUCUGAUUGAAAAGUGGAGGGGUGAUGGUGUGUGGGCUCGCGCUAGGGGGUUAACACACAACUCUCUAGUAUUACUUUUACUACUAAUCGAUCCCCCUUUCCUGUUGAGCCAGGGAAGAUUUUUAUAAGACAUCUCUCUGGGCCUCCUGGGCCCAAUUGUCUGUUUGGCCCAUGGUCCGUCUGGACGGGCCUUGGUAACAACAGAGAUGAAAAGGAUAGAAUUAAAAAUAAUUAUUCAAAGUUGGGCAAUUGUGCAAUUGAGGGAUGGAUGUUCAAAUCAUAUUUAUAUUGGUACGAAAUUUGUAAUUUUCGUGUCUAGAAAUCUAGAAAUUAGAAUCAUUCGUUGAUAACUCGAUCAGAUCUGGCCUUGGAGUGAGAGAUGCAGUUUUUUGGCGGGACAUCGGAGGUGACUCUGUCGCCGUCGGUUCCAUCCAGUAUCGGAACAGGACCACUCGGGAGUAACGCCUACAUGUUGUACUUGUUCAAUCGGAAUGGCGUGUGUCUUCUUUACAAGGAAUGGCACCGUCCGUUGAAGACUCUUGAUUCGAAUCAGGAUCAGAAGCUGAUGUUCGGUCUCCUCUUCUCUCUCAAAUCGUUCACCGCCAAGAUGGAUCCUACUAGGUAUGACUGAAUAUAACCGAUUCAACCUCAGAUUUUUUAUUCAUGAUCUGAUCUUCUUUGGGAUCGAUUGAUCUUCUAGAGUGGAGAAAGGAAAUCUCGGAGUGCCGUUGUUGCCAGGAGAAGGGUGUUCGUUUCAUUGUUUCCGUACAAAUACUUACAAGCUUAGUUUCAUGGAAAGCCCUUCAGGAAUCAAGGUUGGUCUUGUCAAAUUUCCUCUCUUUUUUUCUUCUGUUGGCAUGACAUAUUUAACAUUGUUUUUGUUUAUCUUAUUUUUACCUUUUAUGUGCUGAUUUAUUUUUAUUUUCUUUGUUUUGAAAUAAGACAGAAAAUUAGAAACCAUAGAAUUGCUUCCAAGCUCAAGGAUCUAUAGUAUCAUGUAAUCUUUAGUCAACCCCACUCAUGAGAAUAUAAUACAUCGCCUAUUAUUGGUCAAAUGAGAAUUCUGCAUAAAAUUCCAUACCAACUAACUGGGUGAUUUUGAGUUUAAGAGUAGUUACUUGUUUGGUCCUCUAAAUCCAAUACCAGCUCAUUUUAUGUGACCCUCACCAUAUAUAUUAGACUUUAUAAUAGUUGAAUUCAAAUUUUCCAAAAGAAUCAAGUUUAUCUACAAUGUUUGAACAUGAUUUAUUCUAUUGGGUUUGCAACAAAGGGAAUGUUAUAAAUAAAAAUAAUUUUUCUCAUGAAUUGUGAAAUGCCUUAGUUUAUAAAAUUUUGAGAUGACUUUGAUCGCAAUCCUAGAUUGAUAAAUAGUAGUUUCCUUUUUAUUUUCAAACAUUUUUAAUCUGUGCUACUUCCGACCUUUUGUAAAUCGUUUUUGUUGUUGCAUUUUGUGUCCAUUGUUCGAAUACCAUUUUUCAAUGUUUAAGUUGUGUUUCCAUAUUUCUAUCUUUAUUUUAAGAUCUAACAAUUUGAAGUCACGAUUCCAGCAAAUAUUGAUUAAAUAUUUGGUCGUAUGAAAUUUUUGUCUGUAUACACUAAAACCAAAAGAUUGAGAUUUUAUGAUGUUCGCAUAAAAUAUAAAAUAUAAUAUUUAAUAUUGAUUAAUGAUUCUUUUAUUAAAAAACAACAAGUAAUGAUGCUAAAUAUUAGAGGCCAUAGGACUUGUUAUGAUUUUUGUUGUUUUAACUUUUAAUAAGGUUAAGAUCAGGUACAAACUACUUUGGCAUCAUUCAGUAGAAUCGCUUGAUCUUGUCUACUUUGGAAUAUGCAUGUGCAUAUUUCUAUGCAGCAACGAUUUGGUGUCACAUCGAAUUGCAUGGGCAAGGAUCGUACCUGAUCUUUACCCUAUCUGUUCUAGUUAUUUCUAUUCAUUAUCUUAAAUAAGUGAAAUAAAUCAAAUAAUAACUGACUGGGUGAUUUUGAGUUUAAGAAUAGUUACUUGUUUGGUUCUCUAAAUCCAAUACCAGCUCAUUUUAUCUGACCAUCACCUAGUAUAUUAGGAUUUAUGAUAGUUUAAUUGAAAUUGUUCAGAAGAAUCAAGUUUGUCUGCAAUAUUUGAACAUGAUUUAUUAAAUCGGAAGUUUGCAACAAUGAAAUAUUGUAAAUAAAAGGUAAUUUUGGUUAUGACUUUGAGAUUCCUUAGUUUAUAAAAAUUUGAGAUGGCUUUUGAUUGCAAUUCUAGAUUUAUAAUUAGUAGUUUCUUUUUAUUUUCAAACGUUUUCAAUCUGUACUACUGACCUUUUGUAAAUCAUUGUAUUGUUCAAAUACCAUUUUGGUUUUGUUCUGUCAAUUAUUCAAAUACCUUUUUUCUAUGUACCUUUCAAGUUUACAAUUUCAUGUCGCUGGUCGUCUGGUAUGUUUGUCUAUAUACCAGAAGAUUUAGGAUUUUAUGAUGUUCGUGAUUCUUUUAUUCAAAACUUUAAGUAAUGAACUAAUGAUGUUAAAUAUUAGAACAUGUUUACAUUUAGUAGUAAAGUGUAGAUUAUUUUACUUUUUAAGUUUUUCUUGUUUUAAUUAGGGAUAAGAUCAGGUAGGUACGAACCACUGUGGCAUCAUUCAGUAAGAUCACUUGACAUGUGUAUGCAUAUUUCUACGCAGUAACAAUUUGGUGUCACAUUGAAUUACCUGAUCCUUGUCCAUUUUUUCAAAUAAUUUAGAUUUUUCAUUAAAAAUGGACGAUAUCUUCUUAUCUUUUGUACUAUCUACUACAGAUCAUUUUAGUUACUCAUCCAAAAAGCAAAGACCAUCGAGAGAACUUGAGAUAUAUCUACAAUUUGUAUGUUGGGAAUGUUGUCAAAAAUCCCCUCUAUGUUCCAGGAACAGCAAUCAAGUAAGUAUAUCCAUAAUGUACAUAAAAUUUUUUUUAGCAUUGCAAUUCCAUCGAUAUUUUAUCUCAAUGCAUAUAUUUUUCCUUUUUUUUUAUAGGUGUGAACUGUUUAAUACCAGUCUUGAUCAAUACAUUCAAACUUCAAUUUAACGUACUAGAUAAACAUAAUGCUGUUCAGAUAUUAUUUUCUAUUCAUUUAAAUUAUUGGAUGAGAUCAUGAGAUGAACCUUAAAAACAUCAAUCCAAUGUUUGAAUUCAUCUAAUAUUUGGCUAUAUCUUUUACUGUUUUUAUAAGAAAAUUAAUACAAUCUGCUGCCAUUGAUUUGUUUGUCAUUAGAUCCUACUUUGAAAUAUAAGCUUUUCAUCUAAUAUCUGGUUUCACACACCGUGUGAUGAUGACAUUGAAUCAUCUACCCAUCAAAGUCGAUUAUCUCAAAGAGCCAAAGAUGAAAUACAAUGGAGAGAUUGAAGAUAGCGGAUCCUCCCAAUGGGUUUCCCUCUUUCAGCAUCGGUCGGUAGUUGACCGUAGACGUCGUCUUUAGACAGAGCCUCUUCAUCUGCAGUGGCCCUCUUCUAAAACUUAUAAGGAGUUGAGCCAGUAGAGAAAAUCCCCAUUGUCCAAUACGAUUCUGGCAUGUUUGGUCUCAUCUGAUAUAGUCUUCCAUGCUGAUUGGUGAGGUCCUACUUCUUGCAAGUACUACAUUUUUUUCUCUUCCUGGAUUGAAGACGGUUGCAACGGUUAGUUUUCUCUCUCUCUCUUACCAAAUUGGUCUUUAAAUUUUUUCUAUAUUGGAGGUUAUUUAGAAAAUUUUGCAUUAAUUUUUAAUCCAUAAACAUUCCAAAACAUUUACAAAUCAAGCUUGAAGCAUAAAAUGGAAUGGAUGGAUGCAAUAGACGUUUUUUGGACAGAAAGCAAAAUAUUUAGUUUCCGGGGACGAAGUUGGUGGCGUAAUUCCAUGCGUUGUUUGCGACGGGAUCGGCGAGGUGGUCUGCAAGGUUCUCCAAUGGACCCUUUCCGGUGACGAUGGCUUGAACAUAGAAUCCGAACAUGGAGAACAUAGCUAGUCUUCCGUUCUUCAACUCCUUCACCUUCAACUCGGCGAAGGCUUCUGGGUCUUCAGCAAGGUUGAGUGGGUCGAAGCUGCCUCCGGGGUAGAGUGGGUCCUCGAUCUCUCCAAGAGGUCCACCGGCUACACGGUAUCCCUCAAUGGCUCCCAUGAGAAUCACCUGGGUAGCCCAGAUUGCAAGAAUGCUCUGAGCGUGGACCAAGCUGGAGUUACCGAGGUAGUCCAAACCACCGUCGCUGAAGAUCUGCGAACCAGCCUUGAACCAAACAGCCUCGCCGAACUUCACUCCGUUACGUGAGAGCAAUUCAGGGAAAACACAUCCAAGAGUUCCGAGCAUGGCCCAUCUGGCAUGGAUGACCUCAAGCUCACGGUUCUUGGAGAAAGUCUCGGGAUCAGCUGAGAGACCGGCAGUGUCCCAUCCGUAGUCACCGGGGAACUCACCGGUAAGGUACGAUGGGGACUCCCCAGAAAAUGGACCCAAGUACUUGACACGGUCGGAACCGUACCAUGGGCUACCAGACGAAACUGACUUCUUGACUGUAUUUCUCCUCAUG